rnacentral:rRNA from 1 species
AAAAGGUGGCUAUGCUACCGCUUUCGGAUGGGCCCGCGGCGCAUUAGCUAGUUGGUGGGGUAAAGGCUUACCAAGGCAAUGAUGCGUAGCCGAACUGAGAGGUUGAUCGGCCACAUUGGGACUGAGACACGGCCCAAACUCCUACGGGAGGCAGCAGUAGGGAAUCUUCCACAAUGGGCGAAAGCCUGAUGGAGCAACGCCGCGUGGGUGAAGAAGGUCUUCGGAUCGUAAAACCCUGUUGUUAGAGAAGAAAGUGCGUGAGAGUAACUGUUCACGUUUCGACGGUAUCUAACCAGAAAGCCACGGCUAACUACGUGCCAGCAGCCGCGGUAAUACGUAGGUGGCAAGCGUUAUCCGGAUUUAUUGGGCGUAAAGGGAACGCAGGCGGUCUUUUAAGUCUGAUGUGAAAGCCUUCGGCUUAACCGGAGUAGUGCAUUGGAAACUGGGAGACUUGAGUGCAGAAGAGGAGAGUGGAACUCCAUGUGUAGCGGUGAAAUGCGUAGAUAUAUGGAAGAACACCAGUGGCGAAAGCGGCUCUCUGGUCUGUAACUGGCGCUGAGGUUCGAAAGCGUGGGUAGCAAACAGGAUUAGAUACCCUGGUGGUCCACGCCGUAAACGAUGAAUGCUAAGUGUUGGAGGGUUUCCGCCCUUCA